AAAACGUUCCACUUCAAUUUGUUUGCACUUAUAGCGAUCCCAGCUUCCUCAACCAAAUUAAAACGUUGCAUUAGGAGGUGUCUGCUUCGUGCAAAAAGGUCUUGAGUUCAUAUUGACGACAAGAAGUAAUUCUUCAUUACUGACGUUUAUUUACAAAACAGAACUGACAGACUUCACAGACUCAACAACUGACUCUCCGAGCUAACCGCACUGCAUUACAUUGCUGCCAGAAACAGGAGUAUCUGGGAAUUUACAGGGGCCAUCCAGAAAGCAAAGAAUGUUUCACCAUACGAAGAUAUUCUUUAAAAUAAAUACAUCUUCAGCCAAAUAAAGAAACAAAACUGACAAAAAUCAAAAUUGAAAAACGGUGCGGCAGUGUUCAUUGUAGGAUAUUAAAAACAUACCAUCAGGCAUUAACUGUAAUGUACUUCCUAUCUCCUAUGUCAAUAGUCGAAGGUAUGCCAUUUACAAAUGUGUUAGUCAUUGUCCAUUAAUUAGUGUUUGAAUAUGACUCUUGUCAAAUGAUGUCCCCUCGGCACAACACAUUCAUCUAGGCAGCAUUGGAAGCUUUCCAUAAGUUAGAGUAACAUAUUCCCUGGGAAAUUGCCGGUUUCUGAAGCGAUCCUUUAACUCUGGAAUGGUGGCACAACAUGUUCUGAACACUUCUUGCUUCAGGUAGCCCCAAAGGAAAAAUCAUGUGCUUGAAAGGUCAGGUGAGCAAGGCGGCGGCCAGAAAAUGUCACCAAAACGGGAAAUUACUCUUCCGGGAAAUGGCAUCGCAAGAAAUCGGUGCAAAUUCCAGCUGUGUGCAGGGUAGCUCUGUCUUGUUUAAAACAUAAUUGUUCCACAUGACAGUUACAGCAACACUGCUGUUAUCGUCAAAGAGGUAAGGGCCAAUAAUCCCAAAGGAAGCAACUCCACAUCACACUGUGACACAAGAACUGCGCAAGGGCUUGAUGUACAGUUCGUGCAGGCUAACAUCACUCCAAUAACACACAUUCCGUUUAUUCACUGAACCACAUAACUCGAAAUGAGCUUCAUCUGACAUCACGAUGGUGUGCAUAAUACAUAUACAUUAUAUACGAGGUGUGAUUUUUAAGCAAGUACCGUUUUGAUAUUUACAAAGGCGUGCUAGGAUAUCUCAUAAUUUUAUUUUUACAUGAAAGCCUGUACCUUAAUCUACCUUUCCACAUAAUUUACGUCAGUGUUGAGGCACUUGUCAUAGCGUUGUACCAGUUUUUGAAUACCCUCCUCAUAGAAGUGUGCCGCCUGACUUGUUAACCACUGCAUCACCACUGCUCUGACUUCGUCAGCUUCUUCAAGACGCUGACCGCCCAGGUGUUUCUUGAAGAGCAGGAACAGAUAGUAGUCACUGGGCGCAAGAAAUUCCACAAGCAGUAAUCCUUUUCUGUCCCAAAAAACUGUGCACAUGAUUUUCCUGGCAGAAAUUGCUUGCUUAAACUUCUUUUCUGGGUGAAUGUGAAUGCCACCAUUCCAUGGACUGUUGCUUUGAUUCUGGUGUGACGUAGGCCACCCAUAUUUCAUCGCCCGUAACAGUUUGGCUAAAGGAAUCGUCACCGUCGUCGUGAUACUGCUUGAGGAAAGUCAAUGCACUGUCUAAAUGUUUGGUUAUGUGCACAUCUGUCAACAUUUUCAGUACCUGACGUGCUCACAAUUUUCGUUAAUUCAAGCACUCUGUCACAAUGCCAUACUACGGGAAACAUUAGGAAAGUUAUCCCGCAAGAAGAAAAUCGUAAAGCGCCUGUUUUCUCUCACUUUAUUGUCCACUUACUGCAUCGAACGACUGAAAGGACGCCCCCUCCAUUGUUCAUCAUGCACAUUUGUGUGGCCAUCUUUAAAUACUCUCACCCACUUUCUUACCAUUCGAUCACUCAUAAAGUUUUCUCCGUAGACUGCACAAAUCUCACAAUGAAUACUGAUCGCUUUUAGGCCUUUAGCACUAAGAAGUAAUAGCCCAUAUUUCACAAUCGGUGGGACUCAAGAUUGUCGGAGCCGUUUUAAACACUCAGUACACAAUGUAAACAAGGAAGAGUCGGACUGUAAUGCCGUCAGUGAGUAGAUAACAGAUGUAGGUACCCAGUGCGCAUGCUCAGAACACCGACCGCAGCGCGGGCCGCAUUGUGGCAAAACAGUACUUACUUUAAAAAACACGCCUCGUGCAUAUACAAUUUGAUCGGCAAAGAGCGGUGACGAUGGACUCAGAAUCUCGACUGCAUAAACAAGGAUGCUUACUCAUCCCACCACUAUUAUCACAAUGAGUUUGAUGCUUCAUGGUCACAUUUUAGCCAUCAGUGAUGAUAAUUGGGCUGAACUGAAGAGCAGCUCCUCAGAACCAACUUGUUUAUAUCCAGUACCGACAUGUAUGACCCAACUUGCACAUGCUGAUGGUGCAGCUGCCUACUUGUGUGUGUGUGUGUGUGUGUGUGUGUGUGUGUGUGUGUGUGUGUGUCAACUGAUCUCUGCAACACUUCUCAGUUUCAUAUUUAAUCAUCCUACCAAGCUCUGACAGGCUGGGUACUCCAAAUGUACUGCACUUGGUGUUAAUGGCACAGUAAGAUUGAGCACGGUAUCUUUGCACAUCAGUACAGCCUCAUACACUGCCAUCCGUGUGCCCCCCACCACCAGAGUCACAAUGGCGCCGUCCCUGGUGUCUGGCAGAACACCCAGAUCUAAGGCUACAGUUUCCUGAACCUCGGUAUUGCGUGCCACGGUAGACAUCUCUGAAACACACUAACACUUUAAUAAGUAUGGCUCAAGCCACAUUUUUUCACUAUCGUCGUUGACAAAUACUGUCGCAAUGCUUCUGUCCCGGAUCUUACGCCCAGCUGCCUUUCCUGCUGAAUAAGUUUGCUCUUCAAGAUGCUGUAAACAGAAGAGUAAUAGUUGGGAAUGAAAUUUCAUUGGAAGAGGGUGCAUUAGAAGAUUUUAAGAAAGUUUGUGAAGGUAUAGCCUGUUUUAUUGUUGCAACGACCAAUAUGGCCUCCAUUUAAACAGUCGAAAAACCAAUGUUUACCACUAUUUGGAGGGCCUAUUACACACUGUGUAUUUAACUUUUUGGAAGGUUCAUAAUUAUCAUUUCGCCAAACAUAUAAGCCAUUUUUAUUAAAUCAUGAAACUAAAUUUGUGAGGAAUUCUGGUAGCUUUGUCAGUAUCAUCAUUACAUUGAUACAAUAAUCAUUUGUUUAAACAACUUAAUGAAUCUUGGGGAGUGUAAUAACAGUCCCAUACAUUGUUACUAUAAGCAUAAAACACAUUGUCCUCAGAACCAGAUCCUAAAUAGGUUUUCUAAUCCUCUUAAAUCUAGAUCAUUCACAGUCUUUUGAUAUAGUUCCAAUCCCAUAUCAUAAAAUCUUUUGAAUUUAGGAUCAAUUAAAUUCAUAAAAUAUGGAUGUGCCGCCGGAAUUACAUUAUUUAUAUUCUCAGGCGGAAUACAGUUGUAAGACAUUAUUAAGGAUAAAACCUUUCUCGCGAUCGUUGCAGGGUUGCACCCUUUUCCCGUAGUAAUAGGUUGGCACUUUGUAUGAGGCCAUUUACGACCUCCAUCGCUUUGCACUGAUCAUUAGGUCCAAUGUCUUCCCCUUCCAGUACAUCAACGGGUCUUGUGAUGAAAUCUUAAUGUUGUAUAAUUUCAAGCAGACCAGGUAGUCUUUUAUAGGAGCUACUAAUCCAAACUUGUCCCCUACUUGGCCAGCACGAACAGAUUUAACAGAACAUUGAUCCAGUCGAUGUCUGACAUUGCUGGAAUGGCGCUGGUUCUUCUGAUUCUCUUUUUAGUUCUGGAGGCAAUAAAUGCAUCAGUGCGGAUUCUGCGUUAAAACUCCCUCUCGUCGCCACGUACUAGCGGUUCAAAGAACAUGCGUUUCCUCUGAUCCACCCUGUACACUGUUGACGGGAACAGGAGUAUCUGGGAAUUUUCAAGGGCCAUCCAGAAUGCCACUUUCUCUGAGGCCACCUGUUAUUCAGGCCAGACACGCCAUACUUGUCGGCAGCGACCAGCAAAUGUGAGGAUCCCUGCUCAGCAGCUGUGGAGCCCGGAGUGUAUAGAAAUAAUGUUUAAGCUGGAAGCAAUUCCAGUACCGAGGUUUUGAUGUCUGGGACGAUGGUCUCGCCACCGGUGGCUUCCAGCAUUUGUCACAUGGCCUCGAACGUGAGGCUCCUGUCAGCCAAUGCGGCCCUGUGGGCUAUCAACUGCAAUUUACCUCCCGACAGUGUGACCACUACACUGGUCCCUGAGUGCAGCAAAGCGCCCAGUUACUCAGGUGCUGUCUUGUGACAAUAUUAACAGAACAGGAGUAUCAGGAGGGCCAGACACGCCAUUUUUGUCGGCUGCUACCAGUAACUGGAACAAUCCUUAUUCAGGCCAGACACACCAUAUUUGUCGGCUGCUACCAGUAACUGGAACAAUCCCUAUUAAGGCCAGACACGCCAUAUUUGUCGGCUGCCACCAGGAGCUGGGAUGAUACCUAUUCAGGCCAGACACGCCAUACUUGUCAGCUGCCGCCAGUAACUGGGACGAUCACUAUUCAGGCCACACACUCCAUACUUAUCGGCAGCGACCAGCAAGUGCAAGGAUCCCUGCUCAGCAGCUGUGGAGCCCGGAGUAUAUAGAAGUAACGUUUAAGCUGGCAGCAAUUCCAGUACCGAGGUUUUGACAUCUGGGGUGAUGGUCUCGCCACCGGUGGCUUCCGGCGUUUUCGUCACGUGGCCUCGAACGCGAGGCUCCUGUCAGCCAAUGCGGCCCUGUUGACUACCAACUGCAAUUUACCUACUGACAGUGUGACCACUGCACUGGUCCCCAAGUGGAGCAAAAUGCCCAGUUAUUCGGCUACUGGUACAUUUCCAUCAUCAUGAGACGCGUGACAGCUAUUUUGUUCCCUGUUAUCGUCAUAUAAGCUUAUUUGACUCUUGGCGCCGCGCCGCUGUGACAGCGCUUGGGUAAACGCUAUCAUCAAAUACACCCGCGCAGCGCUUCCGUCCUGGAACAUGCUGCUUCGUUACUUUAAGACCUCAAUUGUUCUUACUACUAUUAAUUUAUACUUGUUGUUAGGCUAGAUUCGCAAUAGAUUGUUGUGAGGGCAAGUGAUUAUGUAACUGAAUAGCUAACAAUUCGAAGGUCUUCACGGAAAAUAACACUGUUGUGCUAAAAUUAAAAUUAUUUAUUAUUAAUUUUUAUAUUUUGAGGAAGGGGUUCAGUGGUAGAGCUAAAGAAAACACAGUUUCUUGUAUAUUUAUUAGAAAUUACUCUUUGUAUUGUAUAGCUCAAACCGUGGCAUUUUCAUGUCGGUGCUUUCAUGUUUUCAGUAGCUGUAACAUGUUUAGGAAAGUGCCACCCUACCAAACGUGUUGGGGCUGAAAGUUGGAAGGGGUGUCCAACUUUACUGUGCUGAGAGAACGAAACAACAUGUGCACUUUAUUUCUCUAGUAAAGUUUUGAUUAGACUAAUUCAAAAAUAGUCAUCCCAUUUCUCCAACAAAAGGUAGGAAUUGAGAGCUGUCACAUCCAUGAAAUGGUAAAACUGCUUCAUAUAAUAUUUUCGCAUGCGAUUUCUUGUUGCAGUAUAAUUUGUCAUGUACAGGUCAGCCAAAUCAAUGCCGUCCAUUCGGUCAUUGUAUUUCUUGUAUAACUUCAGGCUUUGUUUUUACUGUUCUCCUCUUCUCAGUUUUCAGCUUGUUACUAUAGAUACUGGAUAGUGUGGACACAUCAUUUUUAUCUUGCCAUCGCAUCACCAUCAAUUUUACUCUGUAAGAUGUCUUCAUUUGACCCUUCUUGAGUUUUCCUUCCCUCAAAGCUGCUGGCAUUUCUUUUCUGUUUACCAUAACUGUUCAAAUACAGUCAGUGCUUUUCGAUACAAGAAAAUCUAACAGGUGGGGACUUGAAUAGAAUUGGUCAGUAGAAACUAUAUCUCUUGUCAAAAUACCCUUCGAGUAAUGACAAAACAACUUCAGAUGCUUAACCCCUUCAGGAAUGUCAGACUUUCACUGAGUGUUGUAGUGGUCAUAAUCACCUCUGAGAUGCUAGUGCAGCUAGUAACUGCUCCAUGUACGGGCGAGACAGAUUUGUCGUCCGCGGUGCAGCUUUCGCUCGCACUCUGGUGCGAAUGUCGCACAUGUAAAGUUUUACUUUUGAGUUCUGUGCUUUUCUACAUUAGUUGCACUUGUGCUGCCAUCCUUUAGGGUCACUUGUGUACAAGUAACGUGUUAUCCCCUAGCAAGUUGUCAUCACAUUGCCAGUGUGAGGACAUAAGAAAUGGAAGACAAUUCCAAAAUUUAUGACUCGUUAGUUUGGUACCAGAGAAACAUUCUAAGGAAAUAGUUACUGUCUUAACAAGGUUAAGUACAUCCCAAUUUGGUUCAAAAUUAGUUAUUCAGUGGAUCUGUGUGGUCUAUGACAGAUACAUUUUAUAUUGUAAAUUUUGGCCUCAAAUGCAGGUAAGCAAACACGAUAAACACAAGAAAUUAGUCGAGGAUAGUGUCCCAUUAUCCCAUCCCAAAUCCUGGUAUCAGGGUCAGCAGAGGAUGCCAACAGCAGGCGCACCACCGCCUUUAUCAGUCCCCGGUGUUGUGGUCAGCAGUAGGUGUCAGCAACAGGUGCAUCACUGCCACAGUGUCCUCCUUUCUGACCUCCCGGUGUGAGGAAUGUCGCAUCCUGGUUUUCCAUCCAUGAUGUGGGGGUCACAGAGGAUGUCGCCGGCAGGCGUAUGGCAUCCUCCACUCCUGAUCCCCGUUGUGAGGGUCACCGACAGACGCUAUGAGGCUACGGCAUUGGGGGUCGGAGGACGUCACCAAGAACAGUUGCACCGCACCCGCAGCAUCCUCCCAUCCAGACUCCCAAUGCGGCGUUCGCAGAGGACAUCGCUGAUAGGUGCGUCAAAACCACAAAUCCUCCCAUCUCGAUCCCUAGCGUUGGGGUCAGCCGACGUGAUGAAUGACAAUCACGCCACUACCACAGCAUACUCCUUUUAUGACUUCCGAUAUAGGGGUCACAGAGAACGCUGCCAGCAGGUGGCCGUGACCACAGCGUCCUCUACUCUCGAAUCCCCAGCAGAGGAUGCAGCCGGCAGGCACAUAACAGCUGUAGCUCGUUACAGGAGCAUGUUCAGACAGCUGUCCCUGGCAUCCACAUUUGCGCUGCUCUGUCGGACUCGCAACUACCCCAAUUUCUGCCCUCACCGUAGGCAGCGUCCAGAUCAGUUUCUGCCCGACUCUGGGCCCUGUUUUGCCAUCAGCAGAGUCCGCAGCUCUUCCAGUGCCCCCUUCUUAGCAGUCAGGAUCAGCUUCCUGCCUUUCUCCUCUCCAGACAGGCUCCUGCAGCACAAAAUAGUGGAAUUAUUCCAAUUUACUGCAAACAUUGACAUCUACAGAAAAUACUAAUCUUGAAGCGAAACUGAUCAGUUUUCAAAUAAUUUCCUUUUAUUUAAGGGGAGGUGAUGACUCCUAGUCCUCAAAACGAAUGGCAUUGACGGCAGGUAAUAUGAUUUACCCAUGUCUUUAUUGUAAACCUCACCGAUGUGGAAUGUCCGAUAAGUGAUGACAUCCCAGCUAUUUAAACUUUCUAGUCCUGGAACUUUGUCGACUUUUGGUCCACAGACGAGGGCCACAGUUAGCCAUUUGUUACCUUUCUGCAGGGUAUCAUUGUUGCUAAUGGUAAAGUUGAGAACUCCACCGCAGAACUCUGUUGGACCAUGCAGGACGACUUGGGCACCCUUACAUAGAGGUAUUAAUAGCAUAUGCCAUUGCACACACUUGAGGAGUUAAAGAAAAAGAUAGAUGGAAAGUGUGUUUGGCACAAGUGUGUCAGUGGUGACGUAACCACCAUGUAGCAAAUUUGCUAAAGAGUUCGGGGAAUUACUAAUACUAUACGAAGAUGGCUGGUGAAAUUUCGGAAAACUUCUCAGGCCGCUUGUGGGCUGUACAGUAAAAUCAGUCGAGAACUACGUGAACUAGCUGGUUCAGAGGUGGGGCAUCUCGUUGCCCGGGACCAUGAAAGUCGCAUGGCCUCACAGCAGAAAGCGUUAGUGUGGGAGGGCAGUGUCAAACAUUCAGGGCUAUUAGUGUGUGAAUGUGUGUUUGUGUUGUUGGGUGCAAAACACCUCUGCUUAACCAUCACACCAGGAAAAAAGAAGAGAGCACACCAGGAAAAAAGAAGAGAGAAGCAGUGUUGCUUCAGUUGUAUCAUCACUGAACAAGUCCGGAAGUAGAUGGUACAGUCAAGUUUCCAUACAAGGGCCUGGGCAGGAAUGGAUGGAUAGUGUAAAGGCAUGCUUUAUGUCAACAUUGGAAAAAAUGGAUAAUGUCACAAGAGCUGUAAGCCCAAGAUGUUUUCCCAUCUGGCUUACUGGUUUCAAGUUAACUACUUAUACGAGGGUCAGUCAAAAAGUAAUGCCUCCUUUUUUUUUUUUUUCUACGUUUAAUUGUCAGGAAAUUUAAAUGCAAUUACAUAGGUUGAAAACCACAACAUUGAGGAUCAUUUUGUCAUUUUUCGAUGUAAUCUCCGCCCACCUCUACAGUUUUGGUCCAUCUUUGAACAAGGACAUGUAUCCCAGCACGGUAAAAAUCACAGCUCUGCUUCCUAAGCCAUUGACGCACGGAUGUUUUGACGGCCUCCUUAUCUUCAAAAUGAAUCCCACGAUGAGCUUCUUUUAGUGGCCCGAACAGAUGGAAGUCUGAUGGUGCCAGGUCAGGGCUGUAUGGGGGAUGAGGCAAAACUUACCAUCCAAUUUUGACAAUCUCGUCAGAGGUGUGACGACUGGUGUGUGGUCUUGCAUUGUCAUGCAAAAGAAGAACAUCUGCCAUUGAUUUUGUUGGGCGAACUCGCUGAAGACGUGCUUUAAGUUUUUUGAGGGUUGUGACGUAUUGAACAGAAUUUAUUGUGCAUCCCUGCUCCAAAAAAUCAACCAGAAUCACACCCUCUGUAUCCCAGAAAACUGUUGCCAUAACUUUCCCUGCCGAUCGCACAGUUUUGAAUUUUUUUCUUCCUCGGCGAGCUUGUGUGACGCCACUCCAUUGACUGCCUCUUUGAUUCGGGUUCAAAAAAAUGCACCCAUGUUUCGUCCCCGGUCACAAUUUUUUUCAGAAACUCAUCUCCCUCCAAACGGAAGCGCUGCAAGUGUUGGGAGGCUAUUGUUUUCCUUGCCUCUUUAUUCUGAUCGGUUAACAUUCUUGGAACCCACCGUGCACGAACUUUUGAGUACCUCAAUUGUUUAAUAAUCAUGAUCACACUGCCUUUACUAAGAGAAAUAAUGCGACACACUUCAUCUGCAGUCACCCGACGGCCACCACGAAUGAUGUCAUCAACUUGCUGAAUGUUGUGUGGAGUCACUGCACUCACCGGCCUGCCGCUCCGCUUUUCGUCAGUCAACGGUGUUUGCCCUUCAGCUUCCUUACGACGACGAACCCAUCGUCUAACAGUGCUGACAUCCACUGUCACAACACCAUACACCUUCUUCAGUCUUUCAUGAAUGCGUAUGGGCGUUUCACCUUCUGCAUUCAAGAAUUCAAUCACACAACGCUGUCUCAGACGAACAUCGAUGUCGGCCAUCUUACAAACUUCUGCUGUGCUGCCACCUGUUGACACAGAAAGUUACUACUGCAGUGUAUUGCAGAAGAAGGUUUGAGGAAUGGCGCCAAAUUCAAAUUUUUCACUUAACUUAAUUUUUUUAAGUAGAAAAAAAAUGGGAGGCAUUACUUUUUGACCGACCCUCGUACCAAUGAAUAUACUGUCCAUUGCAGAUUUUUAACGUUCGUGACACCACGUGUUAAACUGUUGUCGAAACCACCUCAGUCACUAUGGGGCUUCCCUUUUUGUGAAGCAGUAACACAAGUGCCGAUCACUGCCACAAUGUCAGUUGUCCAUUGUCGGCCGUGUUGUGAACACUAUUCUCCUAGUAACUAUUGUGAAUUACGCAUCAUUUUGUAACUCAUAUUUUUCUCCGAUCUGUACUGUUACUGUUGUUGAAAUGCUCAACAGGAUAUCUACUGCAGCUUGUAAAUUAUGUGCGAAACAAAUAGUGACACAUUUUGUGCACCACUUUGUUACACGUUCAGGAUUCAAAUGAAGUGAUGUAGUACCAAACUGUCGAUAUCUGGUGAAGGCGAGAGGGAAGAUUCCUUCUAAUCUCAUGAGUGUUACUUAUGUAAUAGUACGAAGGUUGAGCGUAGUGUAAGAAUUUUGGAAUCUGUAAAGGGGUACAGACUUUAUGUGAUACAGUUUAUUUCCUUAAUAUCUUGGUGUGCUCAGACUGGAACAUUAGCUUCAGCGCCUCUAUCGAGUGCCAGUCAUUCGUCGACACAGUGAGGUCUGGAGGUGUCCACCUCUCAUUAUUCCUGGCCCCCCUGUCUACUCCUGCUUCCUACGGAGUAGCAACUCGAUACUGCCCAAUGCAGCAGCAGCCACACCUGUGCUGCCAUUCUGGAAAGAGAUGUUUUCUGAGACUUCCGCCCCACUCUCCAACAGGUAGCUAGUCGCUCCAACAUUCACUUACUGUUGGCAAAAUUUGAAGUUUGUCCACUGCCACACGAUAAGCCACCUGAACUCCAGACAGGCUCCUGCACAAAACUGGGAAAUUCCCACACUUUACUUCAAAUGUGGGCAUCUGCUGAAGAACACACUAUGUAGUAAAAAAAAGAAAGAAAAACUAUCCAAUGAUUGUAUGUGUCAAAAAAAAAAAUUCCUUAUAACCGUGAGUCAUACAAAGCAUCCAUUCUGACAUAUGACCACUUGUUCAGAGGAGGUGCAGAACGUGUGUAUUCAUCUCAAUGCAUGCCUCUGCCCUAUGGUGUAAGGACUAAUGCACCCUUUGAAAUCGCCCUGGUUAGUUCUGAAUGUGCUGAGAUGCACAGAAGACACGAUUGUGUAGUGUCUGCUCUCAGGAGUGGUGUAGACCAAUUGCUUUGUGUGUCCCCGUAACCGGAAGUCUAGUGGAUUUAGGUGGGACCUCCAAAGCCAACCCACCGGUUUUGAAAUGUUCUCAUCUGGUGCUGACACACAGUGCAGAAAAAAUGUGGUGGUGCAGAAAAAAUGUGGUGGUGCACCAUCGUGCUUGAACCACACCUUUAGUGUGUCCUUACGUGGCACAUCCUGCAGUAAGAUAGGCAUACACAUACUUCAGAGAGCGAUGGUAAUGAGCCCCAGUUAAUCUCUGUGGUAGCACGUACAGUUCCCAGUAAUUUAUCGCCAAGAACACCUACCCGUACGUCGAUUGAGAAUCGAGCCCGAUGUCUCUUUUCUUGAACAGCACAGGGAUCUUCAUCGCCCCACACAUGCUGGCUAUGGAAAUUUAAGAUGCCAUCACGUGUAAACCCUGCCUCAUCAGUAAACAAAAUCUUGCGGAGGCAAUCGUGGAUCUGCACCACACUGCCGCGGCAACCAUUGGCAGAACUGCAUUUUUUUUUUUUUUGUGCCCUGAGGGUCUGGACACAUGAAACAUGGUACGAAUACAUCUGCUCACAGAGUACGACCAGACGAUAACUAACACUUUCAGUUGCUACUAUUCAUGGCACAAUGGUUCUGAGAUUGUUAUUCACUGCAUUUAGAACACACUCCUCAAUUUUAGGCUUGCAUCCAGAACGAGGCUCCCCACUGUCUGCUUUGCCGUAUGCCAAAAAACUUGUUUCCCUGAGUUGCUCUAACAAUUGGCUGAACAGUAUAACAGGUGAUACCCUGUUUGCUGGAAAUUGUUCAGUGUACAGUUUAUGGUCUCUCACAUUACUCCAUAUGGUAAAUCGUAGCAGAAAAUCACGUAUGCCAUUUCCCUUGUGGAAUAAAAGGCGCACGAAAAACAUCAGAAUAACGUGUGAUUUAAAGGUGACGUGCAAGUAGACCCAAACGUCACGGUACUCACCCGGAGUUAGGAGAAAUGUACGCAAACGUAAACAGAUGUAACAGGACUACGAUGCAUUUGCAAAAAUUAAAAGGAACAACUCGCUGCAGACCUGAGCCAUACAAAAACAAUGUCGUUUUCUCGCCUGCGAAUUCCAGUAGAUCGCAUCACACCACUCUACUAUACGGCCAGCCCAGCCAAUGUAUGGAUAAUAAAACUUAGUAAAUGGCCUCAUCAAGACCAUUGGAUCUUUGUACGAUUUUAUAAAUUGUUAUAUAUAUUGAAGUUUGAGAGAGAACCUACAAACGAAAGGAUCCCUGUAUAAUCAAUCACAGACGUCCUUUCGCAAACCUGUGCAACUGGUACUAAAAAUUUAUGUGGCCAUGAAAAACAUUUGUUAAAGCAUAGCCGUCCUCCUUAGGCACGUAACCAGUUUGCAACAUUUCGCACACUCUGUAGAUCAAAUACUGCAUCAUUACCAUGAGAACGAAUAAACCUAGCACAUAACAAGUUAAUGUACAGUGCCUGCUUAACUUUAAUAUAAGUGUGAAUGUGCUUACCUUCAUUCACAUGAAAAUCCUCAUCUGCUAAGCAAUAUUCCUCAACAUCAAAAUUCCACUGCAGCCAAGUUAAGAAAGCGUCUCUACUCUUCACUAGCUUACAGUGAACUGUGAAGGCGAAAUUCAUGCCAACUUCUGGUCUAGCAUUUUUAGCACGGGCAGUGACAAGUAAAACUAGUGCACCACACCACGUGACCCCCCCGCACCACACAGCAGUAUCUCGGCCCACUGCCUACCCCCGUAUGACACAGAGCACCAGUACAACAGCAGUGCUCGUAUCCGCAACCACACAUUCAUGAUGCCUUCCUACCUCACAGUAUUCCGUGCCGGGGAUCGUAAUUAACAUUAAUAAUCGGGUGUCAAUAGGACAAGUAACACAUUGGAUGACAUCACGAGAGCACCUCCUACGAACACGUGUUCGUAUGUCAGAAUGUAUGCUUUUUGGAACACAUGGUGAUAAGACAUUUUUCUCGUUUUGAAGCUCACUGUCAUCCCCUAAAUAUAGGGUAGUGUUUUUUUUUUUUUUUUCUUUAACAUCCUGCAUAGGAGUACAUGCAUUACAAUGUGAGACAGUUAUUUCAUUAAUACCUUCGUGCGGUCAGAAUGGAAGCUUAACUGCAGUACCUCUAUCGCAUGCCCGUCGUUCGUCCACACGGUAAGAUCUGGAGGUGUCCACCUCUCGUUAUCCCUCGUCCCCCUGUCUACUCCUGCUUCGAAUGGAACGGACACUCGGUACUGCCCAAUGACAUGGCAGCCACACUUGUGUGCAGCAAUUCUGUGUGACCUACGCAGAUACGUGUUCUGAAACCUCCACUCCAUACUCUACCAGGCAGCUCGCCGACCCCACGUUCCCCCAAUGUCGGCAAAAUUUGAAGUUCAUCCAACUGCUGCAAGAUAAGCCGCCUGAACCUUGCUCCGCUCCAGGAAGGCUUCUGCACAAAGCUGUGAAAUUCCCACAUCUCACUACAAAUGUGGAUAUCUGCUGAAUGGUGAGCAGUUCUAUAAACAUUGUUGCCGAAUUUUUGCCUUAUUUCCUCUUUCUGUAUGUGUGCUGCAAGAUAAGGCACCUGGAUCAGUCUCCUGCCUCUCUCCUCUGCAGAGCGCCUCCUACACAAAAUUGAUAUUCUCACAUUUUACUGCAAAUGUGGACAUCUGCUGAAUGGUGAGCAGUUCUAUAAUCGUUGUUGCCCAAUUUUGAACUUAUUUUUUCCCUCUUUAUUGUCGCUGUACGUGUGUUGCAAGAUAAGCCACAAGAACCAGUCUCCUGCCUCUCUCCUCUGCAGAGAGCCUCCUGUGAAAUUCUCACAUUUUGCUACCAAUGUGGACAUCUGCUGAAUUGUGAGCAGUUCUAUAAUCAUCAUUGCCCAAUUUUUGCCUUAUUUCCUCUUUCUGUAUGUGUGCUGCAAGAUAAGGCACCUGGACCAGUCUCCUGCCUCUCUCCUCUGCAGAGAGCCUCCUGUGAAAUUCUCACAUUUUACUGCAAAUGUGGACAUCUGCUGAAUGGUGAGCAGUUCUAUAAUUGUUGUUGCCCAAUUUUUAUCUUAUUUAUUCCCACUUUACUGUAGCUGUGUGUGUGUUGCAAGAUAAGCCACAAGGGCCAGUCUCCUGCCUCUCUCCUCUGCAGAGAGCCUCCUGUGAAAUUCUCACAUUUUGCUACAAAUGUGGACAUCUGCUGAACGGUGAGCAGUUCUAUAAUAAUUAUUGCCCAAUUUUUGCCUUAUUUCCUCUUUCUGUAUGUGUGCUGCAAGAUAAGGCACCUGGACCAGUCUUCUCCCUCUCUCCUCUUCAGGACGGCUCCUCCACAAAGCUGUGAAAUUCCCACAUUUUAGAGGGUUGUUAUUUAAGUAAGGUCCGUUUUUAUUAUUAAAAAAAGAUACAAAUACUCUUGUAAAAAAAUCUUUAAUUUCUGAUUCUACACUUUUACCUAUUUUUCUACAUAGUUGCCUUGUUUAUUUAAGCACUUGUCAUACCGUACAACUAAGUUUUUAAUUCCCUCUUCAAAGAAUUCGGCCGCCUGCUCCGACAGCCAAGAGUUCAGCCGCUCUUUCACUUCAUCAUUGUCAUUGAAACGCUGCCCGCCAAGGUGGUGUUUCAUGUACCGGAAGAGGUGAAAAUCACUAGGAGCAAGGUCGGGGCUAUAUGGUCAUGGUCAAAAACUUCCCAGCCUUACGGGUCAAAUCCAGUCUUUUGAGAGGUGUGAGGCCUAGUGUUAUCGUGCAGGAGCAAAACUCCUUUUGUCAGCAUGCCGCGACUUUUGUUUUGAAUUGCUCUGCGGAGCUUCUUUAGAGUUGCACAAUAGGCAUCUGAGUUAAUUGUCGUUCCUCGUGGCAUAAAGUCCACUAGCAAAACACCGCGCUGGUCCCAGAACACAGUUGCCAUAAUCUUGCGCUGACAGCGAAUGUUUGGCUUUGACCUUGACAGGUGAGGUUGUGUGUCGCCAUUCCAUCGAUUGUCGCUUGCUUUCGGGAGUGAUAUGGGAUACCCAUGUUUCGUCUCCAGUGACAAUUUGACUCAACAUGUCAUCCCUUUCUUCCUCGUAACGAAUCAAAAAGUCCAAUGAAGUGGCAAAUCUCUUCCCUUUGUGGUCCUCUGUGAGGAGUCUGGGUACCCACCGAGAACACAGUUUCUUAAAGUUUGGGUUUUCAGACACAUUUUUGUACAAAACCAAUCUUGAAACUUGAGGAAAUUCCAAAGAAAGAGUAGAAAUUGUGAAUCUUCUGUCCUGACGAAUCUUUGUUUCAACAGCAGCCACCAAAUAAAUCAGUGAUCACAGAGGGCCGGCCUGACCGUUCUUCGUCAUGGACGUUUUGACGGACAUUUUUGAACUCUAACCCAUUGACGCACUUUACCUUCACUCAUUGCAUUCGAGCCAUAAACUUCUGUUAACUGACGAUGAAUUUCUGCAGCUGAUAGGCUUCUCGCGGUCAAAAAACGUAUCACUGACCAUAUCUCACACGCGGCGAGCGAUUCAAUAAUCGUAAACAUUAUAAAGUAGCACAGCGAUGCGUACAUGUCAGCUACAGAGCUUCAUACACGUCAGCUACAGAGGUGCAACUUGCAUCAUUGUGAAGGGGAAGGAUGCUGACAAGUGGCGCGGUGGCUUGUUGCAGCGUCCGCGCGAACUACGGGACUAUACGCGUGAACAGCCCUUACUUAAAAAACAACCCUCAUACUACAAAUGUGGACAUCUGCUGAAUGGUGAGCAGUUCUAUAAUUGUCGUUGCCCAAUUUUUAUCUUGUUUAUUUCCUCUUUCUGAAUGUGUGUUGCAACAUAAUGCACCUCAACCAGUCUCCUGCCUCUCUCCUCUGCAGAGAGCCUCCUGCCCAAAAUUGUAAAAUUUUCACAUUUUACUACAAAUGUGGACUUCUAUUACCCUUUGAUGUAGAACACGUAGCACUGUUGUAAAACUUUCAUCAAAUUGUAAUGUAAUACAUUUAUCCAAACAUCGUUCACAUAUUUUGAACAUGGCAACAUCGCUACCAGCUACUGGACUAAAGGCCACAUAUAAUUCAAAAAACUGAAAAUUAAUUUUGAACUCAUUAUGGGGAAAUAUACGGUAAUUUAAUUUACACAUUUUUAAAUGUCAUAUCUCAUCCCACGAUUUGUACAUCUAUGAACGAAACUUCUUACAACAAUCUGCCGCAGUUCGUAAAAUUUCAUGUAUCAUAGGCAGAUUAACAGAUUGAGUAUAUAUAAAAGAGCUAUCUAACCUGAAGCAUCCUAACACACAAUUCAACUUCUCACGUCGGACAUUAAAAAGAAUAUCUUUCUUCAAUACUAUUUGUAGAGGCAAAGUCAAUACAUUUAAUGCAUUACUGAGGUUCCCUACAAUUACAAGUCGGGACAAAUUUACUAAUGAAGACACCAUUAUUCUGUAAUGUACUUACGUGUGUGGGUUCAGGCACAUGUGACGCAGACGAUGACAAUGCAGAAGAUGACGCUGAUACUUCUGAAGACAACAUGGUACAUCGACUACCAAACCCAGGCCUUAUAUACCAUUAUCAUGUUAUGCAAACAUAGCGUGAAAAACUAUAUGAAUAACAAAUGGCGCUGAUACUAAAAUUUGUACAUGCGCCAACCUUUUGCUGGCAUGGGUGCUUGCCCAGAUAAGGUCCUAAACGGACCAUUAUCUUAGCGUCCAUUGACAGCCGCCAUGUGACCCUGAGGACCCGGCUGACCUCGGGGACUCAUGAAACAUGGCACGGAGGCAGUGAACGGUGAGCAGUUUAAGACUUUGCACCACUUGUUAGCAGCAGACACAGUGGCUGCGCCAAGUCUGAGAUGGCGUGGAGUUUUACAAUUAUUUAUUGAACUUUCUUUACAAUUUCUCGUUGUCACUUCGCAACGUCUCGGUCACCGGCGUGCCUCUGUUUUGCCAUUCUCCACUGCGUGAAGCAGUGCUUACUACAUGUGGCUGUAACACAUUGCUGCUCAAUUUUUAUCUUAUUUAUUUUAGCUGUAUGUGUGUUGCAAGAUAAGCCACCUGAACCAGUCUCCUGCCCCUCUCCUCUGCAGAGAGCCUCCUGCACAAACUUGGGAAAUUCCCACAUCUGCUGAAUGGUGAGAAGUUCUAUAAUUGUUGCCUUCUCACCCACAAGUUUGGAAAUAAGUGGCUUAUUGCUUCUCUUGCUACAGAAGAAUUACAGGCAGGAUGUCCAUCACAUCGGAACCAUGUCAUAUGACUAGUUUUCAAGUCACUUUUUUCCGAUAACAGUGCUAAAGUAUUUAUAAAAAAUGGUGUGUGCUUGUCUCUAUUCAAUGUUAGUGAAAUAAGGGACGGUCAGGUGCUGUCAGAUUUGUCACACUAAAUGUUCUCACUCAACUGUCAUUAGCUAAACAUCUUAGGAAUCCAAUGUCGGCUUUCUAUUGAUGAGUAGUGCUUAUUUCUCAAAUUAACACUAUCAUGUUAUCUGAAUGUUACAUUAUCAGUCAAAAACACAUUCUCCACAAAAUUAUUGUCUUUUGCUUGAGAACCCACAAUAGUACUCAAAAUUGAGCCGAACAUCACUGCUAUGUAGCUCUUGAUACAGAGGGAUUUGGAAUGGAUGAUACUUCUAUACCAAGUAUAGCAUUCUCUUGUUUUUGAUUCUAUUGUAUUGUUACAGAUUGUGGACUGUCAUGCAACUUGCAACAUUUAGUGCAAGAGCAACUGAGGUACUCUGCCUAAAAAAAUUACUUCAGCCGACAAGUGUCACAAGCAAAUGAAAUCGAGCAAAUUGCGAAGGUGGUGGAAAUUUUUAGUAUGAACACCUUCUCAUUUGCAAGUCACGCCUGUCGGUAGUAACUGGUUUUGAUUGUGUCUAGAUCAUCAGCAGAUUGUGUCUAAUCACCCUCUUUAGAGGGUAACAGCUCAAUUUUAAGUUUUUUAUACAGGGCGAUUCAAAAAGAAUACCACAACUUUAUAAAUGUGUAGUUAAUUAAAGAAACAUAUUAUAACCUUCUGUUAUACAUCAUUACAAAGAGUAUUUAAAAAGGUUUUUUUUUUUCCAUUCAAAAACUAGUUCAGAGAUGUUCAAUAUGGCCCCCUCCAGACACUCGAGCAAUAUCAACCCGAUACUCCAACUCGUUCCACACUCUCUGUAGCAUACAGAUAUCAGGUGUAACAUUUUGGAUAGCUGCUGUUAUUUCUCGUUUCAAAUCAUUAAUGGUGGUUGGGAGAGGUGGCCGAAACACCAUAUCCUUAACAUACCCCCAUAAGAAAAAAUCGCAGGGGGUAAGAUCAGGGCUUGUUGGAGGCCAGUGAUGAAGUGCUCUGUCACAGGCUGCCUGGCGGCCGAUCCAUCGCCUCGGGUAGUUGAUGUUCAGGUAGUUACGGACAGAUAAGUUCCAAUGUGGUGGCGCUCCAUUCUGCUGAAAUAUGAAUUGUUGUGCUUCUUGUUCGAGCUGAGGGAACACCCAAUUUUCUAACAUCUCCCCAUAUACAGACAUUGUGACGGUUGACUUUCCUGUUAGUGUGGAAAGUUGCUUCAUCACUAAACACAAUCUUUGAAACGAAACAUUCAUCUGUUUCCUUUUGAGCAAGGAUAAAAUCACAGAAAUCGAUUCUUUUAAUCUUAUCAGCUGCAGACAGUGCUUGAACCAAUUUCAGACAAUAAGGUUUCAUAACUAACCUUUUUCGUAGGACUCUCCAUACAGUUGAUUGUGGAAUUUGCAGCUAUCUGCUAGCUCUGCGAGUUGAUUUUCUUGGGCUGCGAACAAAUGCUUGCUGGAUGCGUGCUACAUUUUCAUCACUCGUUCUCAGCUGUCCAGAACUUUUCCCUUUGCACAAACACCCAUUCUCUGUAAACUGUUUAUACCAACGUUUAAUACACCACCUAUCAGGAGGUUUAACACCAUACUUCGUUCGAAAUGCACGCUGAACAACUGUCGUCGAUUCACUUCUGCCGUACUCAAUAACACAAAAAUCUUUCUGUUGAGCAGUUGCCAUGUUAGCAUCAACUGAUGCUGACGCCUAGUCAACAGCGCCUCAAGCGAACAAAUGUACAACUAAAUGAAACUUUAUAUCUCCCUUAAUUCGCCGACAGAUAGUGCUUAGCUCUGCCUUUUGUCGUUGCAGAGUUUUAAAUUCCUAAUGUUGUGGUAUUCUUUUGAAUCACCCUGUACAUUUAGUGGUGAGUGUAAAUAACAAGUGGAGCACUGACAUUGUUUCCCAAAUUAUCUUUACUGGGAACUGAAAUUUAUAUGCCCGCACACUAAAGUAGUUGCUAGUGGGUGAAGCUUUGAGCUCUCAGUACAUCAGCUUGUAAUAUUGAUUUAUUCAUUCUCUCCUUGCCUGAUAACUUCCGUGUGGAGGGAAUUUAUCACGUUACGUACAAGACUGUAUAUGAAAAUUCUCUACCACACACACACUCGAAAUUCAUGCCUGUUGAAUUUAUCAUUUUAAAUUUUGUGUAGGCAUAAUUUCAGAGAAUCCAAAUUUUAUUUGCAAUAAUCAUAUGUUCAUGAGACAGCUGUUGUUUAACAGUGGUCCAUUCACUGAUGAGUGCAUUUGUUACUAUAAAUUUAGUUAUACUGCUCACUUUUAACUCUCAUUGUUUUCACUAACAUCUUGAAUUAUUUUAAGGAAUUUAUGGUUUUGUGUUUCCUUUAAUCUGCUGUGUAAUUUAUUUAAAAAUAUGCUACCAGCAACAACCAUUGCCUGCUUGAAGUUCUGUUGUCCUACAUGCUAUAAAUUACACAAGUGUAGCUACCCAAGUUUGUAUUGCUUAUUGUUUACUGGCUCUGAAAGCCCAUAAGCCAAGUAACUUGCAAGUAGCCAUUCCAUUACCCACUAACCACAUUGCCUGGUGUGUGUGUGUGUGUGUGUGUGUGUGUGUGUGUGUGUGUGUGAGAGAGAGAGAGAGAGAGAGAGAGAGAGAGAGAGAGAAGCACUUUAAAUUAAUUUAAUGCCAGCCAAUGUUUAAUGUGAUUAAAAGGCAAGAAAUAGUGUCUCUUGAUUAAGUGUAUUCUCAGUUGCCCAUUUUUGAUAAAGAUAAUGAACCAUUUAAAUGUACAUAUUUAUUAAAUGUGUCGCACAGCCUAAAAUGCUGCCACGCCUGCAAUCUACAAAUGCUAGAUAUUACUGAUUUAUUGUUUUGCAUCAUUUCAUCAGAUCAUGUAAACCAGGACUAUAUUAAUUACAUAUUGACUUGUGCCAGGGAUGUGGUUCCACAGAAUCUGAAAAUAAUAACAAAAUGUAUCAAACAGUGAUGGCUUAAAUAAUAUUAAAACUGAGGGAGAAAAAGCAUUUUUAAUGCCAUUGCCAUUUAUGAUUAGUUUGUGCUCCCUUUAAAGUCUGCCAUAAAACUUAUUGUAAAAGUAUUUAGUUGUAUAUAUCUCAGCCUACAGCUUGUGUGUGAUGAUUUAUUACCUAAUAUUAUACAAUUAAUCUUUCAUUUUGUUGUUGAAUUAUCAUGAAAUGUUGACCUUUGUCUGCUUUGUGGAAACUGGUGAAUUAUUAACAUAAAAUUAGCUUCCAAUUGAAAAUAGUAGCAUUUCCGAUAGUCAGUUGUGUUGCAUUAUCUGUUGAGUGCUAGUUUGUAAUGACUUUACGUGAUUGUGUAAUGCGACACAGUUCCAAAUGAAAUUGGCAGAAAAUUCAACUGGAGUGAAAUGUAGAUCCUGACAUAACCAAAAUGAAAUGUUUUCUGUUAAUUUUUAGUGUGAAAGCUGGGAAUAGUUCCAUGUUUGUAAUGAAGUUAAAUAUGAUUUUUUCAUCAAAUUACAUAAAAUUUUCAGAACAUUAGAAACAUUUGAGACAUGCAAGUUUUGCAAUAAUAACAUACAUCAGUUUAUAUGCAUUUCUGUGUUACAGCUACACAAAUACUUAUUAUAGUUUAAAGUAAAAAUAAAAUUUACUUCCAGUGUUCACACUGUGAAAUAGUCCUCAGUAAAUUCUUUAAUAGAAAAAUCUCACAUUUCCAGUUAGGAACAAUCUUUUCAGUGAACAUAUUACUACCUUUUAUUUUAUUGCAAAUUUUUGAUCCCAUGGACUAUUGUUUGGACGUAAAGAGUUUUAAAUAGUGUCACAAGUUUCAAAUUCUCUCUGUGGCUAGUAUUGUAGCUGCGAUGGAAAUGCAAAGUAUCAAAUGUGUAUUGGUUUUUGUAUAAGAACACCACCAUCUCAUAUAUGUAAACGGGUGGGAAUGAAUAAAAAAUUUAAAUUUUAUAGUGUUGGCCUACAAGGUACCUAUUGUUAGGUUUACUUGCAUACCUGGUUGUGUUGACAGAAGUGCAAAAUCUGAAAGAUCUUGUAUCUGAGCUUUUCUGGGGCCAAAUCAUUAUGUAUGGUGUGUGAAAGUUGUGAGAAGAAUUACAGAGAAAAUGUAUUGGGGCAGCAGCUUCUACUUCUUCUUCUCCUCUCCCCCCCCCUCCCCCCCCCCCCCCAACUGUUUAAAUAAUAUUGUGAAAUGCUCCUUAUACUUCCUUAUUUAAUUAGUCAUAUUGCUAAGUUUAUUUACACCAACAAAUAUAAUUAUAUUAAAUAAUAUUGAGUCCUCAGUUUGUGUGUGAUGGAAUGAAUAAAUUUAAAUUUUAGUUCCAUUGUAAUCUUUACUGUGGAGCCAGCCUCUUCCUGUGUGACACAUUCUAGUCCAGCAACAAAUGCUCGGUGCUGUGAGGUGUACUUGGGUGAUUCCCACAGUAUUCUGUUCCUGCCAAAAUGCAAAUACCUCAGUUUGAAUCCUGGAAACAGACAAAUACACAGGAAGUCCCACUCUCUUCCACGUUUCUAAUACUGUGAUCAUGUAGGAGUGGAGAUAUUGAAAGGGUACAGUCCCUGUGAGACUGAAAAAAGUAGCUACACACACAUUGUGUGGCACAGUGUUCUGAGAGUUGCCACUUGUAAACAAAUUCAGUAUGGAAAAUAGUGACAACUUUUUCCUAUCAUUAUUGUGGUGCUUUUGAGACCAAAGACAUUUUUCUGUGUUUUGACAACUUUUUGUGAGGAGUACUGGUCUAUAGCUUUUCAAAUUGUACACUGCCCUAAAAACAGACUGAAGUGGAUUGUGUAGCCAAAGAAAGGUGUGUUGUAAAAUGUCUCUAACAAAAACAAACUUGUAGUGACCUCAUAUGGUUUCAGAAGGAAAGCAUAUGAGUCUCAUAAGUUUUAUUUGUUUGUCUAUCUAUGAACUAUAGAAAUGUAGAUCAGUAUUCCAUAAAAUUAGACGUGAAAGAUGAACUAUGUUAGUUGGAUUAAAUCAUUCCAGAACUGAUUACUAUGUUGUAUUACCUCUGAAAUAAAUUUGUGAAUUUUG